UCGGGCUGAAGACUCUACUUGACUAGCUGAGAGGAGGUGCAUGGCCGUCGUCAGUUCGUACUGUGAAGCAUCCUGUUAAGGUCAGGCAACGAGCGAGACCCACGCCAACAGUUGCCAGCUCGUCCUCCGGGAUGGUGGGGACACUGUUGGGACCGCCUCUGCUAAAGAGGAGGAAGGGAAUGGGGCAACGGUAGGUCAGCAUGCCCCGAAUUAUCUGGGCUACACGCGGGCUACAAUGGGUGGGACAAUGGGUAUCGACACCGAAAGGGUGAAGGCAAUCUCCUAAACCCAUCCGUAGUUCGGAUUGUGGGCUGCAACUCGCCCACAUGAAGCUGGAAUCUGUAGUAAUCGUGUCUCAAAAUGGCACGGUGAAUAUGUCCCUGCUCCUU
rnacentral:rRNA from 1 species